rnacentral:tRNA from 1 species
GUUUAUAUAAUUUAAAUUUAAAAAUAUGAUAUUGAAGUUAUCAGUAUAGCCUUUAGGCUUGUAAAUA